AAGCGGAGGAAAAGAAACCAACAGGGAUUGCCCUAGUAACGGCGAGCGAAGCGGCAACAGCUCAAAUUUGAAAUCUGGCUACUUUGUAGUCCGAGUUGUAAUUUGUAGAGGAUGCUUUUGGUGAGGUGCCUUCCGAGUUCCCUGGAACGGGACGCCAGAGAGGGUGAGAGCCCCGUACGGUUGGAUACCAAACCUUUGUAUAGCUCCUUCAACGAGUCGAGUAGUUUGGGAAUGCUGCUCUAAAUGGGAGGUAUAUCUCUUCUAAAGCUAAAUAUAGGCUAGAGACCGAUAGCGCACAAGUAGAGUGAUCGAAAGAUGAAAAGCACUUUGAAAAGAGAGUUAAACAGCACGUGAAAUUGUUGAAAGGGAAGCGCCUAUGACCAGACUUGUUUCUUUCAGUUUUGUUAGUUCUCGGACUGAUUUACUCUGUUAGUACAGGCCAGCAUCAGUUUGUUGUCGGGGAGAAAGGCUUAGGGAAUGUGGCUCCUUCGGGAGUGUUAUAGCCCUUUGCAUAAUACCCUUCGGCAGACUGAGGACCGCGCUUCGGCAAGGAUGCUGGCGUAAUGGUCAUCAGCGACCCGUCUUGAAACACGGACCAAGGAGUCAACCUUAUGUGCGAGUGUUUGGGUGUAAAACCCCAGCGCGUAAUGAACGUGAACGUAGGUGAGAGCUUCGGCGCAUCAUCGACCGAUUCUGAUGUUCUCGGAUGGAUUUGAGUAAGAGCACACAGGGUUGGACCCGAAAGAAGGUGAACUAUGCUUGUAUAGGGUGAAGCCAGAGGAAACUCUGGUGGAGGCUCGCAGCGGUUCUGACGUGCAAAUCGAUCGUCAAAUAUGAGCAUGGGGGCGAAAGACUAAUCGAACCUUCUAGUAGCUGGU
rnacentral:rRNA from 1 species